AUGGACUGGAGCGCGGUGACGGCGGAGGACCUGGUGGCCGCGCUGCGGGAGGUGGACUGGUCCACGCCGCCGCGCCCCGUCCCCGAGUUCUUCUCCCGCUUCACCGUCCCCCGCUCCUACUCCAAGUGGACCAGCCGCCUCAAGUGCAACCUCUACUACUACAGGACAAACUACUUCAUCUUGAUCAUGUUCAUUCUUGGGUUGGGUUUCCUUUGGAAGCCAGUUGCUAUUCUUGCAGCUUUUAUGACCGGAUUCAGCAUUGCAUUUCUUAAUGACAGCUUUGCUGUUACUUUUAAUGAGAAAGUCACAAGAACUGUCAGACAGUUCUCACCACAUUUAGCUGCAAAGAUGAGACCACCGAUAACCCCUGUUAUUCGUGGCCGACCAAGCUCAAAGAGAUCAAUUCAUAUUUGUGGGCGGCCUCGCUGGUUGUUUGUCCUUUUAUUUUCGGCAGUUAGCUGCAUGCUCUGGUUGACCUCAUGCAGUCUCCUCACAGUUCUAUGGGCACUUCUCAUUGCUCUGCUUACAACGGUACUUCAUGCCAGCUUCAGAACACCUAAUUUGAAAGCACGCCUGAAUACGUUCAGAGAGGAAUUCCGAGCAGUUUGGCGGAAUUAUAGUGAGCUCUAG
rnacentral:rRNA from 1 species